rnacentral:rRNA from 1 species
UACGUAGGGGGCGAGCGUUGUCCGGAGUUACUGGGCGUAAAGGGCGUGCAGGCGGUGCGGUAAGUUUAGGAGUGACAGUCUUCGGCUUAACUGGAGAAGGCCUCUGAAAACUGCCGGACUUGAGGGCCAGAGAGGGACAUAGAAUUCCGGGUGGAGUGGUGAAAUGCGUAGAUAUCCGGAGGAAUACCAAAGGCGAAGGCAGUGUCCUGGCUGGCAUCUGACGCUGAGGCGCGAAAGCUAGGGGAGCGAACAGG